CCCUUGACUCUGGGAUAAGCCUGGGAAACUGGGUCUAAUACUGGAUACUACCUCUUACCGCAUGGUGGGUGGUGGAAAGGGUUUUACUGGUUUUGGAUGGGCUCACGGCCUAUCAGCUUGUUGGUGGGGUAAUGGCUCACCAAGGCGACGACGGGUAGCCGGCCUGAGAGGGUGACCGGCCACACUGGGACUGAGACACGGCCCAGACUCCUACGGGAGGCAGCAGUGGGGAAUAUUGCACAAUGGGCGGAAGCCUGAUGCAGCGACGCCGCGUGAGGGAUGACGGCCUUCGGGUUGUAAACCUCUUUCAGUAGGGAAGAAGCGAGAGUGACGGUACCUGCAGAAGAAGCGCCGGCUAACUACGUGCCAGCAGCCGCGGUAAUACGUAGGGCGCAAGCGUUGUCCGGAAUUAUUGGGCGUAAAGAGCUCGUAGGCGGUUUGUCGCGUCUGCUGUGAAAGCCCGGGGCUCAACCCCGGGUCUGCAGUGGGUACGGGCAGACUAGAGUGCAGUAGGGGAGACUGGAAUUCCUGGUGUAGCGGUGAAAUGCGCAGAUAUCAGGAGGAACACCGAUGGCGAAGGCAGGUCUCUGGGCUGUUACUGACGCUGAGGAGCGAAAGCAUGGGGAGCGAACAGGAUUAGAUACCCUGGUAGUCCAUGCCGUAAACGUUGGGCACUAGGUGUGGGGGACAUUCCACGUUUUCCGCGCCGUAGCUAACGCAUUAAGUGCCCCGCCUGGGGAGUACGGCCGCAAGGCUAAAACUCAAAGGAAUUGACGGGGGCCCGCACAAGCGGCGGAGCAUGCGGAUUAAUUCGAUGCAACGCGAAGAACCUUACCAAGGCUUGACAUUCACCGGACCGCCCCAGAGAUGGGGUUUCCCUUCGGGGCUGGUGGACAGGUGGUGCAUGGUUGUCGUCAGCUCGUGUCGUGAGAUGUUGGGUUAAGUCCCGCAACGAGCGCAACCCUCGUUCUAUGUUGCCAGCACGUGAUGGUGGGGACUCAUAGGAGACUGCCGGGGUCAACUCGGAGGAAGGUGGGGAUGACGUCAAAUCAUCAUGCCCCUUAUGUCUUGGGCUUCACGCAUGCUACAAUGGCCGGUACAAAGGGUUGCGAUACUGUGAGGUGGAGCUAAUCCCAAAAAGCCGGUCUCAGUUCGGAUUGAGGUCUGCAACUCGACCUCAUGAAGUCGGAGUCGCUAGUAAUCGCAGAUCAGCAACGCUGCGGUGAAUACGUUCCCGGGCCUUGUACACACCGCCCGUCAAGUCACGAAAGUUGGUAACACCCGAAGCCGG
rnacentral:rRNA from 1 species